AUUACGUCAGUACCGCGGCCAAGCCCGCGGCCGGCACGGGCGCGCUGGACGCCCAGGCGGUGGC
rnacentral:tRNA from 1 species